AACGCGAAGAACCUUACCUGGGCUCGAACGGCUUAAGACAAUCCUUGGAAACAGGGACUUCCCGCAAGGGACUUGAGUCGAGGUGCUGCAUGGCUGUCGUCAGCUCGUGUCGUGAGAUGUUGGGUUAAGUCCCGCAACGAGCGCAACCCUUGUCCUGUGUUGCCACUCCCGCAAGGGAAGCACUCUCAGGAGACCGCCAGCGAUAAGCUGGAGGAAGGUGGGGAUGAUGUCAAGUCAUCAUGGCCUUUAUGUCCAGGGCUACACACGUGCUACAAUGGGCGGUACAAAGCGCUGCAAACCCGCGAGGGGGAGCCAAUCGCAAAAAACCGUUCUCAGUUCGGAUCGCAGGCUGCAACUCGCCUGCGUGAAGCUGGAAUCGCUAGUAAUGGCGUAUCAGAAUGAUGCCGUGAAUACGUUCCCGGGCCUUGUACACACCGAGACGUA
rnacentral:rRNA from 1 species